UUCUUGGUGGCUCAGAAUGUAAAGCAUCUGCCUGCAACACAGGAGACCCAGGUUCAAUCUCUGGGCUGGGAAG
rnacentral:tRNA from 1 species